rnacentral:rRNA from 1 species
UACGUAGGGUGCGAGCGUUAAUCGGAAUUACUGGGCGUAAAGUGUGCGCAGGCGGCCGCGCAAGUCGAGUGUGAAAGCCCCGAGCUUAACUUGGGAAUUGCGCUCGAAACUACGUGGCUGGAGUGUGGCAGAGGAAGGUGGAAUUCCAGGUGUAGCGGUGAAAUGCGUAGAGAUCUGGAGGAACACCGAUGGCGAAGGCAGCCUUCUGGGCCAACACUGACGCUCAUGCGCGAAAGCGUGGGGAGCAAACAGG